GUCUUUUUAGGGCCACACCCAAAGCACAUGGAGAUUCCCAGGCUAGGGGUUGAAUUGGAGCUAUAGUCACUGGCCUAUGCCACAACCACAGCACUAGCAGAUCUGAGCCACAUCUGCGACCUGCACCACAGCUCAUGGCAAUGCUGGAUCCUUAACCUGCUGAGCGAGGCCUGGGAUCCAACCUGCGUCCUCAUGGAUGAAAGACAGGAGACAAAAACACAGUAUUGCUAAUGUUUUGAUUGUAUUCAAAUUUUUAUUUUUUGAACAAAAAACUUAAGACAAUGAUUUUAAAUAAUAAACAUGGUAUAUUCUAGACACUUGGUUUUUUUUUUUUUUUUGGAUGGUUUAUUAAAUUGGGACUCCUACAGUUCUGUUGUGAUGCUUUCUUCAACAUUUAUAUUAUUUCUUACAGUUGUAUCAUCACUCUAAACUUGCUAAACAAAAAACAUCACUGUCUCCUUCAGUGAAGCUUCACUUGAAGGAAAUACUCCACUAUCACAUAAAAAACACAUAUACAGAACAGUCAUUUUUUUAUAUUUACAAACACAAGAAGUCUGUCCAGCCAUUUUGGUUUUGUGGCUACACUGCCCAUACCGGGAUCGGCAAAUAGCUAAGUAAUUAAUAAGCAAGAUUUCACUUCAGCAGUGCAAAGGAUGGCAUCAACCAAACUUCGUUAAGACAAACCAACAGAUUACAAACAUGGUCAGCAAAAUUCAGUUUGUGUGAUAGUGACUUAAAAAAAAAAAAAAAAAACUUAAACACAGAGUGGGUCACAACUAGACCGGUUUUCACUGUGCAAUUUUCCUCAGGGAACAAUACUACCCCCGUUUCACGCAGAAAGGAAUAUGCAUCAAAGCCUUUGUUCUGAAGAAAAUGCCCUUCAAACAAAUUCAUCAUAAGGCAAAGAAGAGAAAGGAACAAAAAAAAAAAAGAAAAAAGAAAAAAGAAAAAAGAAAAAAAAAGUGAAUGAAGCAGUUUGGCCCAGAGAAAGCUUGUAUAUUGUGUGUAUAGGCUGCAUAUACACAUUCACAGAUAUACCAUGAUUUCAACCAUGCAGAUACUUACUGGACAAUUAAAUGAAAUUGGCUCAGUGAGGUGAAAGAGUGUUCAUCAAAAAAAAAUAAUAAUAAAUACGUAGUUAUGGCUAAUAUGUGACACAUCAGGCUUGGACAUGGAAACUGGAGGAACUUAAAGAGUCUAAAGCUGCCAUAUGGCCAGUGUCAGCCCUGCGGGAGGCGUUCAUAUGGACAACAUGCCAUCCAAUCCUGAAGAAAAAGCAAAAAGUCGGCUACCGAAAAAAAGGCAAAAAUAAAAAAAAAAAAAAAGGAAGAAAGAAAGGCUUAUGCACUGUCCUUUACAUGUUUGCCUGUUUUUUUUUUUAAACAAAAACAAGUCCAGUUCACCACAAGAUAAGCACAACCUGACAAGCAAGUUUAGCGGCAUGAUGGAAGAGAAGAGAAACACAGCAUGCAUGUACAACCAGCACUGAUCUAGUCUAUUUUGUCAUACAAACUGGAAACAAAAGUCCAGUUUAAAUAAGACUAGACUAACCGUAAAUUAAAAAAAAAAAAAAAAAAAAACACACACAGUAGACUUAGUUUGAUACUGAUUAAUCUGAAGAGUAAAACUCAGCCUGUCCCCUCCUAAUACUCUACUGCAAUUUAUUUAUUGAUGGCUAGAAUAUUUAUUUACUUAAAAAAGAUAUUAAAUACCUGUAUCAUGAAAUUACAUUCUUUUUUUUUUAACAAUAAGACAUACUGUGUAAGAAAAUAGCUCAUGUGUGAAAUGUGUCUGAAAUGCAAUUUUCC
rnacentral:lncRNA from 1 species